rnacentral:misc_RNA from 1 species
UAAGAGACGUUGCCCUUCGGGGUAUACCUCCCACCCUUUGUUUAUUAUACCUUUGUUGCUUUGGCGGGCCCGUCCUCGGACCACCGGCUUCUGCUGGUCAGUGCCCGCCAGAGGACCUAAAACUCUGUUUGUUAAUAUUGUCUGAGUACUAUAUAAUAGUUA